AGUGAACGCUGGCGGUAGGCCUAACACAUGCAAGUCGAACGAGUGGCGGACGGGUGAGGAAUACAUCGGAAUCUACUCUGUCGUGGGGGAUAACGUAGGGAACCUUACGCUAAUACCGCAUACGAUUGACUGAGCCGAUGUCGGAUUAGCUAGUUGGCGGGGUAAAGGCACACCAAGGCGACGAUCCGUAGCUGGUCUGAGAGGAGGAUCAGCCACACUGGAACUGAGACACGGUCCAGACUCCUACGGGAGGCAGCAGUGGGGAAGAUUGGACAAUGGGCGCAAGCCUGAUCCAGCCAUACCGCGUGGGUGAAGAAGGCCUUCGGGUUGUAAAGCCCUUUUGUUGGGAAAGCGGUACCCAAAGAAUAAGCACCGGCUAACUGCGUGCCAGCAGCAGAGGUAAUUC
rnacentral:rRNA from 1 species